GACGAACGCUGGCGGCGUGCUUAACACAUGCAAGUCGAACGGAAAGGCCCUGCUCUUGUGGGGUGCUCGAGUGGCGAACGGGUGAGUAACACGUGAGUAACCUGCCCUUGACUUUGGGAUAACUUCAGGAAACUGGGGCUAAUACCGCAUAGGAGCUCCUGCAGCAUGGUGGGGGUUGGAAAGUUUCGGCGGUUGGGGAUGGACUCGCGGCUUAUCAGCUUGUUGGUGGGGUAGUGGCUUACCAAGGCUUCGACGGGUAGCCGGCCUGAGAGGGUGACCGGCCACAAGGGGACUGAGAGACGGCCCAGACUCCUACGGGACGCAGCAGUGGGAAGUAUUGCACAAUAAGCGGAAGCCAGAUGCAACAACGCCGCGUGCGGGAUAACGGCCUACGGGGGGUAAACCGCUUUCGCCUUAAACGAAGCGUUAUUGACGGUAAUGAGUAAAGAAGCACCGGCUAACUACGUG
rnacentral:rRNA from 1 species